GCUGGUUGCAAAUUCACCCCUGUAGCAGUAGAAAUUGAAGAUCCAGACCAAAAAAUAUACCAAUCAGAGGGAGGCAGCAGAAGCGAAGAGUGGACUAGGUUGCAUGAGGACUCCGACCACCAUAAGAUGCACACACUAGUCCUUUGCCAAUUGAUACAUAUUUGACAGCAAAGACAGACCAGAAUCUGUCACACUGAACUGCUACAGGGGUGAAUUUGCAACCAGCUCCUAGUAAUCAUACGUUAAACUUGC
rnacentral:misc_RNA from 1 species